GGAACGGGACGGGGCAGGGGGAGCAGGGGGCUCUCCUUUGCCGGGGUCUGCCGGCGCUCCAGCCCUGACUCCAGGCGCCUGCAGACAAUUUGCUCCCGGCCAUUAGCAGCUGCUGGGUGGCAUCGAAGCUACAAUGGAUCAGAAUGGAGCAAAUGGCACAGCAAGAAUUUCUACAGCAGCACUGCAUGAGGCACAUUUAGCAAGGAAACUCAGAGAAGAGGUUGUGCUGUGCCAGCAUGUGGUAUGAGUGCUAGUAGGUAACAGGACUCCAGAGCAGAAGGGUUUCCUUGCAACACCUACCAUUACCUGGAGCUACUGUGAUGUCGUAUUGUGAGAACACUACUUAAGAAAUACAGCCUUUUUUUAGUGAUAGUAA